rnacentral:lncRNA from 1 species
UAGAACCUUGACAGAAUAUGUGGCACAGCUAUUUGAGGACUCUGAAAUGUAGACAGAAACAAACAGGUAGAACAUUGUAAAUUAAUGUACCUCCAGAACAGCAGCAACCCUGCAGUGGUAGUAGUGGUGACAGCAGCAGCGGCAAUGAUGGAAGCCUGCAGGAGCCAAGAGUGUAAGAAAUGGAAACCGCUUUCUCUAUUUUCUCUGGAGCUAUAGAUUCAGACGGACUUUGACAAGACCCAGUGUCUCAUAAUGUAAAAUUCAGAAUGUCAAGAUAUAAUCCAAACUUACUCAAUGUAUGAUGAAUUAUGAUAAUAUCAACUUGUCAGAAGAAAAUGAUCAAAAGAUGAUAGAGAUGUAGGAAUUAUCUGACAAAUACAUUCAAAUAAGCAAAUAAAAACACUUUUGAAACAAAUGUUAUAAUACAAAGUGUAAAAAGCCUCUAAAAUAUGAAGAAGAAAGAAAGGGUAAUUUUAGAACUGAAAACCCCACUGAACAAACUCAAUGGAAGAAUACAGAUAAGAUAGGAAAAAGUGAGAAAACUUGAAGAUAGAUCAAUAGCUUUUACUCAGUCUGAACAUGAGCCAUAAAGAGACACAGAGAGAGAACAAACAUUGAAUAAAUAUAACAAACAGAGCUGUAGAGACUCGUGGAAAAAGGUCAAAAAUUUUGAAUUCCAUAAGAACAGGGAAAAAGUAUGAUGCUGAAACAAUAAUAAAAGAAAUAAUAGAUUGAAAGUCCUGCAUUUGGUGAAAGACAUAGAUCUAUAGACUUAUGAGGCUGAAUGAACUCCAAGCAGAAUGAACACAAAGAAAUAUAUGUUCAGAUAUAUCAUAAACAAACUGCUAUAAACUUAAAACAAAUAUAUAUCUUGAAAGGAGCCAGAAAAAAACAGUUCAUUAUUUAUAGUUAUCUUAACAGUCUGCAACAAUAUACUGAGAGAAGCACUAACGAAACUGCAUUUCUCUGUCAUGCUGUGCCAGCUGUAGUAUGUGGGAAACCUUGUCUCUCCCAAGUACCUUCUGUCUCUGGCAGCUCCAUGUAAACUUCAGGAAUGGAAAAGAAGAAGCAUUUCUAUAUGAGUAAAUUUUUUCAGUUAAAG